UACGUAGGGACCGAGCGUUGUCCGGAUUCAUUGGGCGUAAAGAGCUCGUAGGCGGCCUGUUAAGUCGAACGUGAAAUCCCCCGGGCUCAACCCGGGAACUGCGUCCGAUACUGGAGGGCUUGAGUUUGGGAGAGGGAUGCGGAAUUCCAGGUGUAGCGGUGAAAUGCGUAGAUAUCUGGAGGAACACCGGUGGCGAAGGCGGCAUCCUGGACCAACACUGACGCUGAGGAGCGAA
rnacentral:rRNA from 1 species